GAAUCUAUACAUAGUCUCAACCUGGUCGCAACCGAGGCUUCUCAGCAUGUCCACGUCAUCAAGAAAAUACAGCCCGUCUGAUAGAAGAAUGGAUGGUUGGAUCAACCACACGUGCGACGUAGCUCUAGAGGAUUCCAGGGAAAUGAAUAGAUAUCCGGGUCCCGAGAGCACCAUGAAAAAAAAAGUUCAGAGUGAUAGCUUUUCCUCUGCGAUAGCUUUUCCUCUCGAGGACUCUAGCACUCUUCCUCCAAAUCCCUCCGCAUCUGAAGCUCCGCCUACAGCUCGAUCCAUUUCAUCAUCAGUGAUUUGAGGUGCUCUUGGUUAAAUAAAGUAACUGAGAUCUGCAUCUUCACUGAAACAACUUGUAGUUAUCAGCGAAGCUCAAAGUUUCUAGCUCAAUUGCAACUUGCAGAUGACAAAAUGGAUAUUGAACCAAUGAGAGAACAAACUGGAUCCAGUCUUGCAGGCUCUAAAAUAUCAUAUGAUUCAAUUAUGGAAGAUUCAGAGGCAUCAUCAACUACAGACUGACUUUUGGGAGGACUUUGUCAUGACAUUUUAGAGAUCACUUUAGUAACAUCAGUGAUUCAGCAAGUGACUUUUCUGACUAAACUAACAGUCCAUGUUCUUAAACAACAUUUCUUAUUUUGCUGUAAAUACCCAUUGUCACUUCCUUUUAUAAAAACUACUAUCUUUUGCUGUAAACUACCAUCAUAAUAUACAUGGAAAUCAUAUGUCUUAAUCUUACGUA